rnacentral:rRNA from 1 species
UGGCCCACCUAGGCCCACGAUCCCUAGCUGGUCUGAGAGGAUGACCAGCCACACUGGAACUGAGACACGGUCCAGACUCCUACGGGAGGCAGCAGUGGGGAAUAUAACACUGUGGGCGCAACGCUGAUGCAGCCAUGCCGCGUGUAUGAAGAAGGCUUCGGGUUGUAAAGUACUUUCAGCGGGGAGGAAGGCGAUGGGGUUAAUAACCCUGGCUAUUGACGUUACCCGCAGAAGAAGCACCGGCUAACUCCGUGCCAGCACCCGCUGGUAAUACGGGGGGUGCAAGCGUUAAUCGGAAUUACUGGGCGUAAAGCGCACGCAGGCGGUGUGUUAAGUCAGAUGUGAAAUCCCCGGGCUUAACCUGGGAACUCAUUUGAAACUGGCAGGCUUGAGUCUUGUAGAGGGGGGUAGAAUUCCAGGUGUAGCGGUGAAAUGCAUAGGAGAUCUGGAGGAAUACCGGUGGCGAAGGCGGCCCCCUGGACAAAGACUGACGCUCGUAGGCGAAAGCGUGGGGAGCAAACAGGAUUAGAUACCCUGGUAGUCCACGCCGUAAACGAUGUCGACUUGGAGGUUGUUCCCUUGAGGAGUGGCUUCCGGAGCUAACGCGUUAAGUCGACCGCCUGGGGAGUACGGCCGCAAGGUUAAAACUCAAAUGAAUUGACGGGGGCCCGCACAAGCGGUGGAGCAUGUGGUUUAAUUCGAUGCAACGCGAAGAACCUUACCUACUCUUGACAUCCACGCAAUUUGGCAGAGAUGCUUUAGUGCCUUCGGGAAGCGUGAGACAGGUGCUGCAUGGCUGUCGUCAGCUCGUGUUGUGAAAUGUUGGGUUAAGUCCCGCAACGAGCGCAACCCUUAUCCUUUGUUGCCAGCGAUUCGGUCGGGAACUCAAAGGAGACUGCCGGUGAUAAACCGGAGGAAGGUGGGGAUGACGUCAAGUCAUCAUGGCCCUUACGAGUAGGGCUACACACGUGCUACAAUGGCGCAUACAAAGAGAAGCGACCUCGCGAGAGCAAGCGGACCUCACAAAGUGCGUCGUAGUCCGGAUCGGAGUCUGCAACUCGACUCCGUGAAGUCGGAAUCGCUAGUAAUCGUGGAUCAGAAUGCCACGGUGAAUACGUUCCCGGGCCUUGUACACACCGCCCGUCACACCAUGGGAGUGGGUUGCAAAAGAAGUAGGUAGCUUAACCUUCGGGAGGGCGCUUACCACUUUGUGAUGACUGC